rnacentral:rRNA from 1 species
UUGAACGCUGGCGGCAGGCCUCACCCAUGCCGGUCGAGCGGAUGAAGGGAGCUUGCUCCUGGAUUCAGCGGCGGACGGGUGAGUAAUGCCUAGGAAUCUGCCUGGUAGUGGGGGAUAACGUCCGGAAACGGGCGCUAAUACCGCAUACGUCCUGAGGGAGAAAGUGGGGGAUCUUCGGACCUCACGCUAUCAGAUGAGCCUAGGUCGGAUUAGCUAGUUGGUGGGGUAAAGGCCUACCAAGGCGACGAUCCGUAACUGGUCUGAGAGGAUGAUCAGUCACACUGGAACUGAGACACGGUCCAGACUCCUACGGGAGGCAGCAGUGGGGAAUAUUGGACAAUGGGCGAAAGCCUGAUCCAGCCAUGCCGCGUGUGUGAAGAAGGUCUUCGGAUUGUAAAGCACUUUAAGUUGGGAGGAAGGGCAGUAAGUUAAUACCUUGCUGUUUUGACGUUACCAACAGAAUAAGCACCGGCUAACUUCGUG